rnacentral:ncRNA from 1 species
UAUGUAACUCAAAGGAAAUAGUAGAUUUACAUUAGUUUUUCAGAAAAUGCAUGGUUAAUGAGAAUGCUAAACUAAUCAAAUUGAACUCGUCCACUAAGUUUAAUCGCUGAACUAACAGUAAGUGAUUGCGUCUUAUCCAUGUUACGGAUAUCGAGAGUCAUGCAGCUAAUGUGUGGAACUUAGGUGGUACCGCGAUAAUUCGUCCUAUGA